AGCGCCAGGUCCGGUGUUGGGGUGUCCGAGUUGCCGCCGGAGAGGAGUGGCCUCGCCCGCUUGAGUUUUGAUUCAUCAUGGAUAAUCUGUCAUCAGAAGAAAUUCAACAGAGAGCUCACCAGAUUACUGAUGAGGUAAAUGUUUUACCUAAAAUAAGUAAAUAAUUCUAUUUCAGUUUUCAUAUUGGAGGAGUGAGAGAGCCUUCUUAGGGACAUUUUGGCCUCUUCCUAGUCCAUUAAUAUCAAAGAACACAUUUGCUCCUUAGUGCCAUUGCUGGUUUUUAUUUUCUUUUUAACUCACCAGAAAACUAAAGUGAAAACAAUUUGUAUGAUUUUUAUUUUUUAGGUAAUUAUUAAUAUUACUUAAGUGUAACAAAGAUACUCUACUAUGUAUUUGAGAAAUGCUAGACUUCUAUUUAACAAUUUCCUAAUAUCUGUAAUUUACUUAGAUUUCUACCUACAUUAAAUUUUUAUUCCCAUGAACUUCACCAUCCAAAUAUUCUCUUUUUUAAAAAAACUUUUUCUUUCAACAUCACACUGGAAGUCCUUACACAUUUUCUCUUAAGGAGCGCCUGAAAAUAACUAAAAAUGUAGUG
rnacentral:lncRNA from 1 species